rnacentral:rRNA from 1 species
GAUGAACGCUGGCGGCGUGCCUAAUACAUGCAAGUCGAGCGAACGGACGAGAAGCUUGCUUCUCUGACGUUAGCGGCGGACGGGUGAGUAACACGUGGAUAACCUACCUAUCUGACUGGGAUAACUUCGGGACACCGGAGCUAAUACCGGAUGAUAUUUUGAACCGCAUGGUUCAAAAGUGAAAGACGGUCUUGCUGUCACUUCUAGCUGGAUCCGCGCUGCAUUAGCUAGUUGGUAAGGUAACGGCCUACCAAGGCAACGAUGCGUAGCCGACCUGAGAGGGUGAUCGGCCACACUGGAACUGAGACACGGUCCAGACUCCUACGGGAGGCAGCAGUAGGGAAUCUUCCGCAAUGGGCGAAAGCCUGACGGAGCAACGCCGCGUGAGUGAUGAAGGUCUUCGGAUCGUAAAGCUCUGUUAUUAGGGAAGAACAGAUGUGUAAGUAACUGUGCACGUCUUGACGGUACCUAAUCAGAAAGCCACGGCUAACUACGUG